CCUACGGGAGACAUCAGUGGGGGAUAUUGCACAAUGGGGGGAACCCUGAUGCAGCGACGCCGCGUGGGUGAAGGAGUGCUUCGGCAUGUAAAGCCCUAUCGGCAGGGAAGAAGCAAGACGGUACCUGACUAAGAAGCCCCGGCUAACUACGUGCCAGCAGCCGCGGUAAUACGUAGGGGGCGAGCGUUAUCCGGAUUCACUGGGUGUAAAGGGAGCGUAGACGGCCAUGCAAGCCAGGGGUGAAAGCCCGGGGCCCAACCCCGGGACUGCCCUUGGAACUGUGCGGCUAGAGUGCGGGAGGGGCAGGCGGAAUUCCUGGUGUAGCGGUGAAAUGCGUAGAUAUCAGGAGGAACACCGGCGGCGAAGGCGGCCUGCUGGACUGCGACUGACGUUGAGGCUCGAAAGCGUGGGGAGCGAACAGGAUUAGAUACCCCAGUAGUC
rnacentral:rRNA from 1 species